UACAGAGGUCCCGAGCGUUGUUCGGAUUCACUGGGCGUAAAGGGUGCGUAGGUGGCAUGGUAAGUUUGAUGUGAAAGCUCAGGGCUUAACCCUGAAAUGGCAUUGAAUACUGCUGUGCUGGAGGUUUGGAGGGGGGACUGGAAUUCUUGGUGUAGCAGUGAAAUGCGUAGAUAUCAAGAGGAACACCAGUGGCGAAGGCGAGUCCCUGGACAACACCUGACACUGAGGUACGAAAGCUAGGGGAGCAAACAGG
rnacentral:rRNA from 1 species